UGGGGAAUUUUGGACAAUGGGCGAAAGCCUGAUCCAGCAAUGCCGCGUGUGUGAAGAAGGCCUUCGGGUUGUAAAGCACUUUUGUCCGGAAAGAAAUCCUUGGCUCUAAUACAGUCGGGGGAUGACGGUACCGGAAGAAUAAGCACCGGCUAACUACGUGCCAGCAGCCGCGGUAAUACGUAGGGUGCAAGCGUUAAUCGGAAUUACUGGGCGUAAAGCGUGCGCAGGCGGUUUGCUAAGACCGAUGCGAAAUCCCCGGGCUCAACCUGGGAACUGCAUUGGUGACUGGCAGGCUAGAGUAUGGCAGAGGGGGGUAGAAUUCCACGUGUAGCAGUGAAAUGCGUAGAGAUGUGGAGGAAUACCGAUGGCGAAGGCAGCCCCCUGGGCCAAUACUGACGUUCAUGCACGAAAGCGUGGGGAGCAAACAGGAUUAGAUACCCUGGUAGUCCACGCCCUAAACGAUGUCAACUAGUUGUUGGGGAUUCAUUUCCUUAGUAACGUAGCU
rnacentral:rRNA from 1 species